UACAUGGGGUGCAAACGUUGCUCGGAAUUAUUGGGCGUAAAGCGCACGUAGGCGGUUUGUUAAGUCGGAUGUGAAAUCCCUCGGCUCAACUGAGGAAGUGCAUCCGAAACUGGCAAGCUUGAGUACGAAAGAGGGUCGCGGAAUUCCCGGUGUAGAGGUGAAAUUCGUAGAUAUCAGAAGGAACACCGGUGGCGAAGGCGGUUCUCUGGGCAUUACCUGACGCUGAGGAGCGAAAGUGUGGGGAGCGAACAGG
rnacentral:rRNA from 1 species